GAACAUCUAUCGACUGUUAAACAGGUAAGUGUGAAUAAUUCUAUUAUAGACUUAAAAUUAUUUUUCUGAUAGAAUUGCGAGGAUUUGGGGCGGCGCCUUACAGGAUCCGAGUUGAUGGCUCAGGACUUAGCUUGUUGUGUGCUUGGCCUAGGCCGGACGGAGAAUUGAGCAGUGUUCCGACACAGAACUGAUUCAAGCUACAACUUUUGCAAAAAUUAACAUUUUUAUUGAGCGAGAGAAUUCUAUAUCAAGUUAUAUAUAGACAAGAUCAUCCGUGGAGGAUAAAUAUCUUGUUUCCCAUUAUUGGGGCCGUUGAACUUGGAGAUGUGCAAUCAAAGUUCUCUAUCGUUUCAGCAUAGGAUCAGUCUCUUUUUCAAUAAGUAAUUCUACAAUUCCUCUUCUAGAUUUUUCUUUUAUCUUUCUUUCUCCUUCCUUCUUCCCUUUCCUUUUCGCCACUGUGUUUUCCUUUUGAGAAGUUUGGACUCGAGGUUUUCUCUACUCCGAAAUUGACUUAUUCCUUUUCGGUUGGGAGGCAACUCUACUGAGAAAGAGGGGGCUGUGUCCUUUGUUUCGUUUUCAGCUCCACUUUACCUCAAAUCCGGAGGUGACUAACUUACUCAAAGAUUAGUCACCUCCGACCCAGGUCCGAUUUUGACAUUAAUUAUCAUUUCCCAGGUCCAAUUUGAAAUUAUUUGACUUCUCUUCGGAUAAUGGUCCUGGAGACAGUGGCUCUCAUUUUUCUUCCAUUUCCAAAUAAACACUGAUGUCUAUAGCUUCCUCUGAUCCCGAAUUUGCACGUCAAACGAUCUGUAUAUUUUUAUUGUGGAUGGUUAAAGACACAAAACUCUUCAAUUGGUAUUAUGAUGUUCAUCACAUCUUACAGUUCCCUCUCUCGGGGAUACGAUGGUUAUCACAUAGUAUAUUCUCUUAGAGUUCUCGCUGUUGUGAUGACGAUGUUUGUCAGUUAAUUAGUAUUUUACAAUUAAAAUUUAUUUUUGUUUAUAAAUAUAGAUAUCAAUUUUUUGACAAUUAUUAUUCAUUCUGAUCUUAUCGGUUGUCGUGAUUCUCCAUAGAAUAAAAUAUUUCUCGUAAAUGUCAACUACAAUAUAUGUGAUCAUUAUAAGUAGAUAAAAAGUUCUACGAUGUAAGAAGCGAAAGUUCAUAUCCUACCUAGAGCAGGUUAGAUAUGUUAAGCCGCCAUAUCUCACCAGAGAUAUAUUGGCGGCGGGCACUUAUAGAGCCCACUACAGACUGGCCAGCACCCAUAAUGGGAUCAACAGGAUGGUUAAAGGAUGGGUUUGAAUGGGCCCGGACCCGUCCUGAUAAACUGGAGGUAUGGGACCAGAAUUUGAAGCCAGGGGUAGUAAACCACAGCUUUACCAGGCGACCAUCCGGCCGAUUUUAUUCCAC
rnacentral:lncRNA from 1 species